rnacentral:rRNA from 1 species
AUUGAACGCUGGCGGCAUGCCUUACACAUGCAAGUCGAACGGUAACAGGUUAAGCUGACGAGUGGCGAACGGGUGAGUAAUAUAUCGGAACGUGCCCAGUCGUGGGGGAUAACUGCUCGAAAGAGCAGCUAAUACCGCAUACGACCUGAGGGUGAAAGCGGGGGAUCGCAAGACCUCGCGCGAUUGGAGCGGCCGAUAUCAGAUUAGGUAGUUGGUGGGGUAAAGGCUCACCAAGCCAACGAUCUGUAGCUGGUCUGAGAGGACGACCAGCCACACUGGGACUGAGACACGGCCCAGACUCCUACGGGAGGCAGCAGUGGGGAAUUUUGGACAAUGGGCGCAAGCCUGAUCCAGCCAUGCCGCGUGCGGGAAGAAGGCCUUCGGGUUGUAAACCGCUUUUGUCAGGGAAGGAGAGGUUCUGGUUAAUACCUGGGACUCAUGACGGUACCUGAAGAAUAAGCACCGGCUAACUACGUGCCAGCCGCCGCGGUAAUAC